rnacentral:rRNA from 1 species
UACAGAGGUCCCAAGCGUUGUUCGGAUUCACUGGGCGUAAAGGGUGCGUAGGCGGUCGGGUAAGUCUGAUGUGAAAUCUCACAGCUUAACUGUGAAACUGCAUUGGAUACUAUCCGGCUCGAGGAAUGGAGGGGAGACUGGAAUACUUGGUGUAGCAGUGAAAUGCGUAGAUAUCAUUUGGAACGCCAACGGCGAAAGCAGGCAGCUGGGGAUGCACCGACGCUGAGACACGAAAGCCAGGGGAGCGAACGGG